GAUGAACGCUGGCGGCGUGCCUAAUACAUGCAAGUCGAGCGAACGGACGAGAAGCUUGCGUCUCUGCUGUUAGCGGCGGACGGGUGAGUAACACGUGGAUAACCUACCUAUAAGACUGGGAUAACUUCGGGAAACCGGUGCUAAUACCGGAUAAUAUUUUGAACCGCAUGGUUCAAAAGUGAAUGACGGUCUUGCUGUCACUUAUAGAUGGAUCCGCGCUGCAUUAGCUAGUUGGUAAGGUAACGGCUUACCAAGGCAACGAUGCAUAGCCGACCUGAGAGGGUGAUCGGCCACACUGGAACUGAGACACGGUCCAGACUCCUACGGGAGGCAGCAGUAGGGAAUCUUCCGCAAUGGGCGAAAGCCUGACGGAGCAACGCCGCGUGAGUGAUGAAGGUCUUCGGAUCGUAAAACUCUGUUAUUAGGGAAGAACAUAUGUGUAAGUAACUGUGCACAUCUUGACGGUACCUAAUCAGAAAGCCACGGCUAACUACGUG
rnacentral:rRNA from 1 species